rnacentral:rRNA from 1 species
UACGUAGGGUGCGAGCGUUGUCCGGAAUUAUUGGGCGUAAAGAGCUCGUAGGCGGUCUGUCGCGUCGAUCGUGAAAACUUGGGGCUUAACCCUGAGCUUGCGGUCGAUACGGGCAUGACUGGAGUUCGGCAGGGGAGACUGGAAUUCCUGGUGUAGCGGUGAAAUGCGCAGAUAUCAGGAGGAACACCGGUGGCGAAGGCGGGUCUCUGGGCCGACACUGACGCUGAGGAGCGAAAGCGUGGGGAGCGAACGGG